ACAACACUGUCGGUCGUUCGCAAGACGAGUUUCAGGGAAAAAUGCGUGCAGCAAAUACCUGAUAAGACAAAAAUUGGGCAAAACUAGUGAUGCGAGAGUGUAAUCAGUGCAUGCUGUUUGGGAGCGAGAGUGUAUGCAGUUUGGAACUCAGAUAUUCAAGAAGUCAGGCUGAAUAGGCCGUAGCGACCCUGACCAGGAUAAGCUGUGUUGAAAAUGGAUGUUAUCUUCCAAAACACAUGAGAGUACCAAGGGGACAGUCCAGGCAGAGCGUCAUGCAGCUUUCACUGCUAUAAACUCAAGCACACGCUGCGUUCAAACACUGGAUUUAGGUGGAAAAGGACAAUGUUUUUACUACAUCCAAGCAGGGAGGAGUGUCUCAAGAGUGAUUUCGUCGAGGAUUCAAGGUAAUUAUUAUAUAAAAUAACACCAUGCAUGCACUUUGAAGUGUUUUGAAAAAAAAUAAUGGGAAAAAAUUAGCAUAACUUUAGCUUGAAAUAUUUACUUAAAAUGAAUGAUAACUACCCGUUUUUUUUUUUUUUUUUUGCUUUUAACCAAGAAUCUAGACUGUUUUAGGUUCGUAUUUGUAGAAAUUCUGGGAUUUACACAUUUAUCCACAACAACUUUCAGUUUAAAAAGCUCUUUGUCUUGUGACG